UCCCUAGUGGCUCAGAUGGUAAAGCGUCUGUCUGCAAUGCAGGAAACCCGGGUUCGAACCUUGUGUUGGGAA
rnacentral:tRNA from 1 species